CCUACGGGAGGCAGCAGUGGGGAAUAUUGGACAAUGGGCGAAAGCCUGAUCCAGCAAUGCCGCGUGAGUGAUGAAGGCCUUAGGGUUGUAAAGCUCUUUUACCAGGGAUGAUAAUGACAGUACCUGGAGAAUAAGCUCCGGCUAACUCCGUGCCAGCAGCCGCGGUAAUACGGAGGGAGCUAGCGUUGUUCGGAAUUACUGGGCGUAAAGAGUACGUAGGCGGUGAUUCAAGUCAGAGGUGAAAGCCUGGAGCUCAACUCCAGAACUGCCUUUGAAACUAGAUCGCUAGAAUCAUGGAGAGGUUAGUGGAAUUCCGAGUGUAGAGGUGAAAUUCGUAGAUAUUCGGAAGAACACCAGUGGCGAAGGCGACUAACUGGACAUGUAUUGACGCUGAGGUACGAAAGCGUGGGGAGCAAACAGGAUUAGAUACCCUGGUAGUCCACGCCGUAAACGAUGAUAACUAGCUGUUCGGGGUCUACGAUCCUGAGUGGCGCAGCUAACGCAUUAAGUUAUCCGCCUGGGGAGUACGGUCGCAAGAUUAAAACUCAAAUGAAUUGACGG
rnacentral:rRNA from 1 species